rnacentral:lncRNA from 1 species
CCUGGCCAUGGGCCUGGCAGCUGCUGCCCUGACUGCUCACCUGGCUCUGACAAUCAGAAUAAUGGGGAUUUAUUGUCCCUUCUCUCUGCUAAUCCUAGAGAUGAGGGAUGAGCAUCUGGAAAAGCUCGUUUGGGGUUGGUAAUGACCUCCAGGAGGGAAUUCUCACACAACUUCUACCAUGCCCCCACUCAUACACCUACCUGUCCCUACAUAUCCAAAGCUCUGAAUUCGACUCUGACCCAGAUGCUACAACUAUCUUCUUUAAUCCAGGUGCAUUUCUGUCCAGGCAACCUCAAGCACAAAGGCGUAGAAGAGAAGAGAAGCAACAUGCCCUUGGAGUCCACAGAAUAUGGAAACUAGCCUGACUGGAGUUGAAGGUCUCUUGAGGAUUUAUGUAGUAGGUUAUGCUGUUGCAAGAAGUGAGCUCCCACAGCCUUGGGCAGCUCCAUCACUGUGGCUUUGCAGGUACAGCUAUCCUCCUGGCUGCUUUAAUGGCUGGCAUUGAGUGUCUGUGGCUUUUCCAGGUGCACGAUGCAAGCUGUAAGUGGAUCGACCAUUCUGGAGGGGUCUGGGGUCUGGAGGAUCGUGGUCCUCUUCUCACAGCUCCACUAGGCAGUGCCCCAUUGGAAACUUUGUGUGGGGGGUCUAACCUCACACUUCCCUUCUGCACUGCCUGAGCAGAGGUUCUCCAUGAGGGCUCUGUCCCUGCAGCACACCUCUGCCUGGACAUCUAGGCAUUUCCAUACAUCUAGGAGGAGGUUCCCAAAUCUCAAUUCUUGUCUUCUGUGCACCCACAGGACCAACACCACAUGGAAGCUGUCAAGGCUUGGGGCUUGUACCCUCUGAAGCAAUGGCCUGAGCUGUACCUUGGCUCCUUUUAACCAUGGCUGGAGCUGAAGCAGCUGGUAUGCAGGGCACCAUGUCCAGAGGCUGCACACUGAAGGGGGGGUCUUGGACCCAGCCCAUGAAAGCAUUUUUCCUCCUAGACCUCCCAGCCUGUGAUGGGAGUGGCUGCCACAAACGUCUCUGAUACACCCUGGAGACAUUUUCCCUGUUGUCUUGGUGAUUAACAUUUGGCUCCUCAUUACUUAUGCAAAUUUCUGCAGCUGGCUUGAAUUUCUCCCCAGAAGAUGGGUUUUUCUUUUCUACUGCAUGGUCAGGCUGCAAAUUUUCCAAACUUUUAUACUCUGUCACCUCUCCAGUGCUUUGCUGCUUAGAAAUUUCUUCCACCAGGUACCCUAAAUCAUCUCUCUCAAGUUUAAAAUUCCACAGAUCUCUAGGGCAGGGACAAAAUGCCACCAGUCUCUUUGCAAAAAGCAUAACAAGAGUGACCUUGGCUCCAGUUCCUAAGUUCCUCAUCUCCAUCUGAGACCACCUCAGCCUGGACUUUAUUGUCCAUAACGCUAUCAGUAUUUUGGUCAAAGCCAUUCAACAAGACUCUAGGAAGUUCCAAACUUUCCCACAUUUUCAUGUCUUCUGAGCCCUCCAAGUCUCUAGGAAGCUCCAAACUUUCCCACAUUUUCCUAUCUUCUUCAGAGCCCUCCAAACUGUUUCAACCUCUGCCUGUUACUCAGUUCCAAAGUUGCCUCCACAUCUGUGGGUAUCUUUACAGUAGCACCCUACUCCUGGUACCAAUUUACAGUAUUAAUCAGGGUUCUCUAGAGGAACAGAACUAAUAGGAUAGAUGUAUAUAUGAAGGAGAGUUUAUUAAGGAGCAUUGACUCAGACAAUCACAAGGUGAAGUCCCACAAUAGGCUAUCUGCAAGCUGAGGAUCAAGGAAGCCAGUCUGAGUUCCAAAAUCUCAAAAGUAGGGAAGCUAACAGUACAGCCUUCAGUCUGUUGCCAAAGGCCUGAGAGCCCCUGGCUGACCACUGGUGUAAGUCCAAGAGUCCAAAAGCUGAAGAACUUUGAGUCUGAUGUUCAAGGGCAGGAAGCAUCCAGCAUGGGAGAAAGAUAAAGGCUGGAAGACUCAGCAAGGCAAGUCCUUCCAGCUUCUUCCUGCCUUAUUCUAGCCAUGCUGGCAGCUGACUAGAUGGCGCCCACUCAGAUUGAAGGUUGGUCUGCCUCUCCCAGUCCACUGACUCAAAUGUUAAUCUCCUUUGGCAACACCUUGACACACAUACCCAGGAACAAUACUUUGCAUCCUUCAAUCCGAUCAAGUUGACACUCAAUAUUAACCAUCAUGCCUGCUGUUCUUGCAUAUGGUGUUCCAGCACUCAUUCCUCAAUUUUCUAGUGAUAGAGCCCAAUGUCUCCUUUUUGUGGCCCACUGCUCUUCUACUCUUAGUCCAUGGACUUUGUCUAUGCUAAUCACACUGCCUAGGUCCAGUGAUGAGUGUGUGAUCCAGCCUGACCCAUCAGCAUAGUUCAACCUAGCUCCAGUUGUUGGUUUAGGAAUGAGCAUCUGACACCAGUGGGAUAAAUUCAAUCAAUGACAAGGCUCUUAAUGUAAUUAUUAGGGAAGUGUCACUGUCUUUCUCGUGUGGAAACUGCUGCAGUGAAGUGCUAGCCCGCAGCUGCCAGCAGCAACCUCUGUCUUCUCAUGAGCAGAGCCUGAGAAUGAAGCCAACACAGAGGAUACCAGACCCAAGAGAUGGAGAGGGACAUUUGAGCCCCUAAAUCUAGAUCUGCCUGGAUGCUUCAAUCUUUGCACCAAUACAUUUCCUUUCUCUCAAACCACUUUGAGUUGUGUUUUCAUUGCCAGAGAUGGAAAGAAUCCUGACUAAUGUACAUACAGAGGUGAAUGAGUUCCAUGCCUAAAUGCUUGACUGGAGAUUGAUCCUGGACCAUUACACUCAUGGAGAACUGUGAGCUCUGUUAAAACUCUUCAAAAGUUUCCUGUUGCUGUCAGGAUAUAACCUCAACUCCUUAACCAUGGUUUUAGAGCCUUCAAUGAUCAGGACCUUGCUGAUCUCUGGCCUCAUCCUGAAGCACUUUUCCUCCCAAUUUAUAUUCUGGCCACACUGGAUUUUCAGUUUCUAGAAUGUACCAUUGUCUCCUGCUUCUGGAAUUUGUCCUCUUCCUUGAGCAUGCUUCACCUACCUAAGUCCUACGAUUCCUUCAAUAUCAGCUUAAAACUCACCCCAUCACUGCCAGGGCUCCACAGCAGUUCCACCUUCUAACACUCAGCACACUUGCAGCCAGGCGUUCAAUGCCUGCCCCUAUCCCAGAAUAUAAGGCCCCGCGAGAGUCAGAUCCGUGCUGCUCUAAUCUCCACGCUAUCACUAGGACAUGAAUAGAGACCCAACAAAUAAAUAUUUGUUGAAUACCUGAAUGAGAUAAAUAAUGCAGGCAACCCUAAGUACGUGGAAGUGGAGGAGAUCUAAAUUAGGGCUGAGAUCUGUGGGUCAGCCAGCUAGGCAUGAGAUGAUCAACGCCCAGGCCAAGGUGGUAACUUUAGUAAGAGAAAGGCACAGGGAAGGGAAAGGAAGGAAAAUCUAUGUGGAAACUGAGAACAGAAGAACCAAAAUAAUUUGACCGGCUUUGACCAAAGCUAGAAAAAGAAUCUUUAAAGAGACACCCAAGCCCAUGAACCAAGUGCAUAAGAGGAAUGUGCAGCUAUUGGCAGGGGCAGGGUCACUGCUUCAGGACACAGUUAUGCU